GGUUUUUUUUGACAUACAAGGUAUUGAAUAAGGUUUUAAUUGAAUGCUAAAAGAAUGGAAUAUCAAAGAAUAACUUUCUUAAAAUUAAAAAUUGAAAUUUUUUUAAUUUGUGUAAAAACAAUUAUAUAAAUUAAAGACAAGAAGACCCUAAGAAUUUUUAAAAUUUAAAUUAACACAUUUUUGUUUUAAUUAAAUUUUAACUGGGGCGGUUAAAAAAUAUUAAAAACUUUUUAAUUUUGAAAAUGACCCAUUAUUAAUGAAAAUAUGAUAAAAUACUCUAGGGAUAACAGCGUUAUAUUUUUUGAUAGAUCAUAUUGACAAAAAAGUUUGCGACCUCGAUGUUGGAUUAGGAUACUUUUUUAAUGAAGAUAUUAAAAUAAGAAGUUUGUUCAACUUUUAAAUUCCUACAUGAUCUGAGUUUAGACCGAA
rnacentral:rRNA from 1 species